rnacentral:rRNA from 1 species
GGCCACGCGGCUAGCUCGAGAUCCCGCAAGGGACACAUCGCGUUCCGACGCGAUGCGACAUGGGCGCAAGCCCGCUCGGGUGUGCCACACAAGAAACGCGGCCAUCAUACGCCGACCCCACGAGUGCUCGUGGGUGAAGACAUAGUCUAACUCCGGGCGUAAGCCUGGGUAUAGUUGCGAUGUCGGCUCUUCCCAUCCUGGUCCUGCAGCAGGGGCCAAGGGUGGGGCUGCUCGCCCAUCAAAGGGGAACGUGAGCUGGGUUUAGACCGUCGUGAGACAGGUCGGCCUCUACCUGAUGGAAGCGGUGGUUCACUGAGGGGAAGCCCUGCCCAGUACGAGAGGAACAGCGGGGCGUUGCCUCUGGCGUACCGGUCGUCCGAGAGGGCGUCGCCGGGCAGCUAAGCAAUUGUGGAUAACCGCUGAAAGCAUCUAAGCGGGAAGCCACUCCCGAGAAGAGUGAGCCUUGGACCCAAGCUACCUCCGCAAGGGGGUGGGGCGGGUCCAGAAGGGCGGCCAUAGAAGAUGGCGUUGAAAUGGUGGGGGUGUACGCUGGAAGCUUCGGCGACCAGUUCAGCCCGUCCACUAAUUACAGCCCAACGCUUGGAUGAG